ACGCACGCUGGCGGCGUGCCUAAUACAUGCAAGUAGAACGCUGAAGGAGGAGCUUGCUUCUCUGGAUGAGUUGCGAACGGGUGAGUAACGCGUAGGUAACCUGCCUGGUAGCGGGGGAUAACUAUUGGAAACGAUAGCUAAUACCGCAUAAGAGUAGAUGUUGCAUGACAUUUGCUUAAAAGGUGCAAUUGCAUCACUACCAGAUGGACCUGCGUUGUAUUAGCUAGUUGGUGGGGUAACGGCUCACCAAGGCGACGAUACAUAGCUGACCUGAGAGGGUGAGCGGCCACACUGGGACGGUGACACGGCCCAGACUCCUACGGGUGGCAGCAGUAGGGAAUCUUCGGCAAUGGGCGGAAGUCUGACCGAGCAACGCCGCGUGAGUGAAGAAGGUUGUCGGAUCGUGAAGCUCUGUUGUCAGAGAAGAACGAGUGUGGGAGUGGAAAGUUCACACUGUGACGGUAUCUUACCAGAAAGGGACGGCUAACUACGUG
rnacentral:rRNA from 1 species